GGUUCCAUAGUGUAGCGGUUAGCACAUCUGCUUUAUAUGCAGAAGUUUCUGGGGUUUGCUCCCCAGUGGAGCCA
rnacentral:tRNA from 1 species